rnacentral:rRNA from 1 species
GACGAACGCUGGCGGCGUGCUUAACACAUGCAAGUCGAACGCUGAAGCACCAGCUUGCUGGUGUGGAUGAGUGGCGAACGGGUGAGUAAUACGUGAGUAACCUGCCCUUGACUCUGGGGUAAGCCCGGGAAACUGGGUCUAAUACUGGAUGCUACAUGUCACCGCAUGGUGGUGUGUGGAAAGGGUUUACUGGUCUUGGAUGGGCUCACGGCCUAUCAGCUUGUUGGUGAGGUAAUGGCUCACCAAGGCGACGACGGGUAGCCGGCCUGAGAGGGUGACCGGCCACACUGGGACUGAGACACGGCCCAGACUCCUACGGGAGGCAGCAGUGGGGAAUAUUGCACAAUGGGCGAAAGCCUGAUGCAGCGACGCCGCGUGAGGGAUGACGGCCUUCGGGUUGUAAACCUCUUUCAGCAGGGAAGAAGCCACAAGUGACGGUACCUGCAGAAGAAGCGCCGGCUAACUACGUG